CUGUUUAUCAAAGAAAAACACAGGUCUCCGCAAAGUUGUAAGACCAUGUAUGGGGGCUGACGCCUGCCCAGUGCCGUAAGGUCAAGGAAGUUGUUGAACUGAUGAUAGGGAAGCCGGCGACCGAAGCCCCGGUGAACGGCGGCCGUAACUAUAACGGUCCUAAGGUAGCGAAAUUCCUUUUGGGGUAAGUUCCGACCCGCACGAAAGGUGUAA
rnacentral:ncRNA from 1 species